ensembl:piRNA 21ur-5035 ncRNA
UUCUGGUUCGUUUAAAUUGAA